GACGUAGGGGGCCAGCGUUGUUCGGAAUUACUGGGUGUAAAGGGUUCGUAGGCGGUGUGGCAAGUCGGGAGUGAAAUCUCUGGGCUCAACUCAGAGACUGCUUCCGAAACUGCUGUGCUGGAGUGUGGGAGAGGCGCGUGGAAUUGCAGGUGUAGCGGUGAAAUGCGUAGAGAUCGGAAAGAACACCAACGGCGAAAGCACUCUGCUGGGCCGACACUGACACUGAGAGACGAAAGCUAGGGGAGCGAAUGGG
rnacentral:rRNA from 1 species